UCCCCUGGUGAGGUCAGGCGGAGGCACUGCCGCUGCGGCCGCAGCAGCUCCUCUCCCAUUCCCGGGAAGCCUGGAACGGGGACUUUUGAAAAUAACUGGAGCGGCGUUUGGGUUAGGGUCUGUGCUUUCCUCCUGCUUGAGGACAGGGUGAAGUGGCCUGGGCGAACAGGGGUGCAGAGGUACGGGUGCUGGUGCCUCGCAGCAGGAGCGAGCCUUGAUUGCGCUGCGCUACUCCCUCUUCGGCCCUCGGAGCGCAGCAGCUGGCGGACGAGCGGCUGGGGCGCAGGGACGAGGCAAACAAGGUGAGGCAGGUUGCUGAAGUCACAGGGGUUCUAUUAGCCGCU
rnacentral:lncRNA from 1 species